UGUAUCUCUUAGGAAAUGGUGAGAGCCAUCCACACAAUGUGGAUUUAAAGGGGACUCUACUAUAAUUUCAGCUUUCCUACUCUUUAUAGAAACCAUCUUCUCUGCAAACACACAGGCAAUAUCUCUGUGUUCAUUUCUACUGGGAACCCUGUAUGCAAGAUGGAGAGAGCCACAUUUCCCCCUGAGAUGUUAUGUAAAAUUUGAGGUUGAGAUGACAUAUCUGACACUCUGUUGUUACCCUCAGAAGCUACUACAUGUGAAAUUCUAAUGACUGCAUUAUCCUACCAAGUUAAAGAGGCAGGCAUGAGCAAGGACAUUUAAGAGGGGUGAGAGCCUCAUCAUGAUGGGGAGUCUUGUUCUGACAUCUUGGGAAGAAAUGUCCACAGUGUGAAGUCAUCAACUUGUUGUCCUGGUUUACAGUUUGAGCAUCUGUUGUUAUGGUGUCGAAAAUGUUGGCGAGUUCUGAGUGGCUCACGCUUCAGGUACAAGGGUUUUCCCAUGAAAUUUACAUUGAGUUGUCCACCUCCAGCUUAUAGGGCUUCUGGAACAGAGUGGGUCUUGCUCUUUGUACAAGGGUUUUCCCAUGAAAUUUACAUUGAGUUGUCCACCUCCCGCUUAUAGGACUUCUGGAACAGAGUGGGUCUUGCUCUUCGUGAUUCCAUGGGAGAAAAUGGAAUUGGAGGAACUAGUAGAAUUCAGGGUAAUAUCCAGU
rnacentral:lncRNA from 1 species